rnacentral:lncRNA from 13 species
CUAAUUUACUGUUUGCUUGUUCUUUAAAUUAUUAGAGAGGGGUGCUGAAUUCUUUAACUAUAAUUGAGGAUUUUUCUUUCUUCUUCUGUAAUUUUUGAUUCACACACCACUACCAUGAUUCAAUCACCUCUCACCAGGUCCCUCCCAGGACAUGUGAGAUUAUGGAAACUACAAGAUGAGAUUUGGGUGGGGUAACCCAAACCAUAUCAAAUGCUGUUGAGAUUUCAGUAGGGAUUGCACUGGACGUGUAGAUUGCUUGGCUAGUAUGGUCAUUUUAGCAUUAUUAAUUCUUCCAGUUUAUAAAUGCUGAUGUUUCCAUUUGCUAGUGUCUAAUGUUUCUCAAGUUUUUUUUUUUUUUUCUUAGAUGGAGACUUGCUCUGUCGCCAAGCUGGAGUGUAGUGAUGUGAUCUCAGCUCAUUGCAACCUCUGCUACCUGGGUUCAAGUGAUUCCCCUGCUUCAACCUCCUAACUGUCUGGGACUACAGAUCUUAGAAAAUAUGCUUCAGUUCUUCACCUUUGAAUAUGAUGUUACCUGUGAACUUUUCAUAUAUGACCUUUAUUGUGUUGAACUACACAGAUGGACUGAUACAAAUGAGGAAUAAACAAGAUGAGCCUUACUAUUGCCUCAGCUUUCGAUGUGGAGGCAGCCUGAAAGCACACCUCCAGGGGACCAAAUUAAUCCCUUGUAACAUUACUACAAGCCAGAACGAAGUCCACCACUAUGUAAAAGAAUACAGCAACAUCCAACACCCAAGUACAAAAAAAUUCAUGCUCUCCAUAAUCCAACAAAAAAUUAUUAGGUCUGCAAAGAAUCAAAAUAUAAUCCAUAAACAGAAAAAAGAAACCAACUGGUAGAAGUGAAUUAUGAUAAAAAAUAAAAUGGGAAAAUUGAAAUAGAACA